UCAACCCUCGACUUCCCUUUGGGGAAAUCGGCGUUGGGGAACGGCAGCAUACCGCCGGCCCCGAAAUGGAGUGGCGGCCCGUCCGCGGCGACCUCUGCGUAGUAUCCAACUCGCACCGGAACCCCGACGUGGCCACGCCGUAAAACACCCAACUUCUGAACGUUGACCUCGGAUCAGGUAGGAAUACCCGCUGAACUUAA
rnacentral:misc_RNA from 1 species